UUGGAACUGAGACACGGUCCAAACUCCUACGGGAGGCAGCAGUGAGGAAUAUUGGUCAAUGGACGAGAGUCUGAACCAGCCAAGUAGCGUGAAGGAUGACUGCCCUAUGGGUUGUAAACUUCUUUUAUACGGGAAUAAAGUGAGCCACGUGUGGCUUUUUGUAUGUACCGUAUGAAUAAGGAUCGGCUAACUCCGUGCCAGCAGCCGCGGUAAUACGGAGGAUCCGAGCGUUAUCCGGAUUUAUUGGGUUUAAAGGGAGCGUAGGCGGGUUGUUAAGUCAGUUGUGAAAGUUUGCGGCUCAACCGUAAAAUUGCAGUUGAUACUGGCGACCUUGAGUGCAACAGAGGUAGGCGGAAUUCGUGGUGUAGCGGUGAAAUGCUUAGAUAUCACGAAGAACUCCGAUUGCGAAGGCAGCUUACUGGAUUGUAACUGACGCUGAUGCUCGAAAGUGUGGG
rnacentral:rRNA from 1 species